rnacentral:rRNA from 1 species
AACGAACGCUGGCGGCAUGCCUAACACAUGCAAGUCGAACGAGACCUUCGGGUCUUGUGGCGCACGGGUGCGUAACGCGUGGGAACCUGCCCUUAGGUUCGGAAUAACUCACCGAAAGAGGUGCUAAUACCGGAUAAUGUCUUCGGACCAAAGAUUUAUCGCCUUUUGAUGGGCCCGCGUUGGAUUAGCUAGUUGGUAGGGUAAAAGCCUACCAAGGCGACGAUCCAUAGCUGGUCUGAGAGGAUGAUCAGCCACACUGGGACUGAGACACGGCCCAGACUCCUACGGGAGGCAGCAGUGGGGAAUAUUGGACGAUGGGCGAAAGCCUGAUCCAGCAAUGCCGCGUGAGUGAUGAAGGCCUUAGGGUUGUAAAGCUCUUUUACCCGGGAUGAUAAUGACAGUACCGGGAGAAUAAGCACCGGCUAACUCCGUG